rnacentral:rRNA from 1 species
UACGGGGGUGGCAAGCGUUGUUCGGAAUUACUGGGCGUAAAGGGCGCGUAGGCGGGGAGGUAAGUCGGGUGUGAAAUCCCUCGGCUCAACCGAGGAACUGCGCCCGAGACUGCCUUUCUUGAGUCCCGGAGAGGAAGGUGGAAUUCCCGGUGUAGCGGUGAAAUGUGUAGAGAUCGGGAGGAACACCGAUGGCGAAGGCAGGUCUCUGGGCCAUAACUGACGCUGAGAAGCGAAAGCAUGGGGAGCGAACAGG